rnacentral:rRNA from 1 species
UACGGGGGGGGCAAGCGUUGUUCGGAAUUACUGGGCGUAAAGGGCUCGUAGGUGGCCAACUAAGUCAGACGUGAAAUCCCCAGGCUCAACUUGGGAACUGCGUCUGAUACUGGAUGGCUUGAAUUCGGGAGGGGGAUGCAGAAUUCCAGGUGUAGCGGUGAAAUGCGUAGAUAUCGGGAAGAACACCCGUGGCGAAGGCGGCUCUCUGGGACGGUACUGACGCUGAGACGCGAAAGCGUGGGGAGCGAACAGG